GUCCGAGUCUUUUACAAGUGGCUGUAGAUGAGUAAAGAACAAAUGUGUGUUGGGGAAUUUUGUUACGUCUGAAGAUAAACCCUGUUCCUCAGUAUCGAGGUGCAUGGUGCCACUUGGUAACGAGAGCACCGCUCCAUUUGAAGUUUGGUAGAACUUCGGAUAACUGUGUAACAGUUCGUCGUUACUUAAGAUUUUCCAAAAGGGUCUCAUCGUCGUUGAUGAUCAUACAAGUUAAUUGAUCAUCUGUCUCAACCACUUUCACGAAAGCAAAAGGGAUUUACUGAUGAAGGUAUCUGUGAAUUAGAGCAUCGUCAUCCGUCAUGAUGGACCUAUACAACUGGAUGAUUGCUGUUCAUGCUAUUCUGUGAUGUAUUGGAUGCAGACUUGCCUCAUUCUUCAAUAUUUCUUGCCUGACGCUUUUAGAUACCCGUAUUAUGCUAAAUGCAGCCGUGUUCUGGAUGACUUCUAGAAUACCAAUAUAGUUCUUCAGUGGCAGCAACAUGCUACCACUGUAGUCAAUUAUUGAUUUUAUAGAUGUAUAAAGUCAUUUUAUCGUAGGUACACUUGCACCAUCAGAGCCACAUGCAACUUUUCAAAGAAGGCGUUUGCGCGAACGUUUUAGUCUUUUCAGGUGAUAUGACUAAUCCUAUGCUGUUACAUAACGAUGUGUAAGCCUUAAUUGCCUUUUUUAUUUCCUUAUCUGUGCUGGCCUGUACUACAUGCCGUCUGCAUUAUAUGGCUAUUAUGAUUCUUGGUAUAUCAAUUUUUCCUAGUUCAUUCAUUAGAAUAUUAAAGAAUAGGUGAUAAAACACCACCUUCAGGGAUACCCAAUUCCAUUUUUCCCAACUUGAUUGUACACCUUCAAAGUAAACACAACCUAAGUCUGUCUGCUAGGUAAUCCAAUAUGAGCUGCAGGAGUCUUCCUUCUAUCAUUUCUGCCAACUCAUUCAUAAUAAUUAUAUGGCUAGCCCUAUCAAGGGACCCCUUUAUAUCUAUGAACACUAUUUGAACCCUAAUGCUACACUUUCUUUAUGAAUAGUGACUUAUGCUCCUCCCAGUUAUGUAGCCAUAUAAAUUCUUUUAAAGCUUUUUCCUAAUAAAGAAAUGAUGCCUAUUAAUAAAAUUCUUUCAAAUACCUUGCACAG